rnacentral:ncRNA from 1 species
CCUUCUCAACUUGUUUCAGGUGCUCUGUGGCGAUGCGUCGACAGGGUGAAACAGGGAAGCCGGUGAGCCCUUUCGACAGGUGCGAUUCCGGCGCUGCCCCCGCAACGGUAAAUGAGUCAAGACUACGCUUUUCGCCACUGUGCCGGCGGCACGGGAAGGCGCGCGGUCCUGCGCUUGCGCAGCUCAUGAGCCCGGAGACCGGCCUGAUCCAUCCCACAGCA